AAGAAAAAUAGUUAUCUAUCCUUGCAAUAUUGUGGACAGCCUGAGUGUAUUUUAUUCAGGAGUGCGCAUGACUGAGUGUAUGCUUUUGUGACCGAGGGGGAGAGAAAGACAGACGAGGGGAGAGUUCUGUUCUUUCACUGCUCCAUCCGGGAAUUUUCGAAUUAGCAUUGACAGCCGAAGCGCAACUUUUCCCCAGGCAAAGUGAAAUCAAGCCGCUCACUCGGACAAAAUAUAGUCCCCACUAUUCAACUAAAAAUGAUCAAAAGAAAAAUAAAUCGACCGUUUGGAGAGGAUGCGUCGACGCGGCGUUAUUUUUAGAGUGGAUCUGUCCAGGUGCUGAAACCUUUCCCCCGUGUUUAGAGCACUUUGCUCAGCGGCGUAAAGUGAGUGAUGAGCCCUCUACACAGCAAAGAAGCAAGAACUUGCUUUGCAGCCUGAGUAGUUCUUCUUUCGAUUGUUAUUGUCGCUUUAAAAAAAACAUUUUAAUUCACUUAAACUUCACAUUGAUUACAUCGAAAGUGGUACAAAAGUGUUUUUGAAGUCGGAACAUGGAACUACAAUGCCUGCAAGAGGCGUUGAAAGUCGAGAUCCAAUGUCAUCAGAAACUAGUUGCACAGAUGAAGCAAGACCCGCAGGAUGGAGAGCUUAAGAAACAACUACACGAAAGACACGACAGAAUAACAGCCCUUAGCGAAAAACAAGUAAGAAAACCCCCAAAGCUUUAUUAUACACUAGUGUUGGCUAUAAUCAUCAUUCAUGUCACGGCAAUAGUCUUGUAUUGUGUGAGACCGUUAUGUUCAGGACAAUGUGCUUGUUUAAAAAAAAAAAGGUUUCAAAAGUAAAGGCAUUGAUUUAGUCUUUGCUCCCCCUUUAAAGUCGUUGUGUUGUAGAAUUCCUCAACGUAAUCUGCUGAUUCUGUCCGGAUACUCUUUAAGUUGUGUAACAUGAAAUGUUGAAAAAUGUAGCGUCCAUUUUGAGUAAGUCGACAUGUUUCAGGAGAGUAAAGAAAGGAGAUGCUCAAGUAUCCGGUCUGGACUUUUUUUUUUUUUUUUUUUUUACACAUCAAGCAUCACGUUUUUACUAUUCUGACUAUUCGUAGAUAUUCAUCGCCGAAUGAAUACGUAUUGUUUUGUUGCUUCUAAAUUGACUUUAUUUGUUACUUUAUAGCCAGUCGUGGGGUAUUAUUUAUUCUUGGUCACAUGACGGUAAAGGUUGCUUUUGAUUCGAUCGCAGCUUACACUUUCAUUAUUUUUUUUAUUUUUUUACUACAUCUAGUAUCAAAUUGGCCAAGAUGAACUUCCAUCUUGUAAUAAGUGAUUUAAACGUAUUUGUAUGUAUUCCUAAUGAGUCAUUUGAAAGGUAAAGAGAAACACUAAAGUACAGCUCUUCCGCCCAGGAGAACGGGAGCUUUCAGCACCACAGAACAGAUGCCGUUGAACGCUUAAAGUCACAACACUGCCUGGCUCAAUAUAUGAAGUUACCGAAGCCACUAAGGAACACAAAACAGACAUAUAAUGUGUAAAUAUAUGUUGUAGAAGUCAAAUCAAUCGAUGUUGAAUCAUUUUAGUUCAUUAUAAAGGGUUUUUGCGUUGGCCUAAGUUAGAUCGAUCCUGUUUCUUCAGGAAUGCAGUUUUCAGCACUUGAGCCCUGAACAGCGCCUUGAUUUUCUCCACCAUUCGCUGUUGAACGUUUCCUGUAAAGCAGAAGACAAACUCAUUUAGGCAGCUUAUGCAGAGAAACAAUGCUUAUAUUUUCACGUAGUUGGUUAUCUAUUUACACGAGGUUGAUCUUUCCAGUGAAUGUAUUUGUUGUAGUGUUUUACGCAAAGCGCCUUAGUUUGGUAGUGGAUGCUUCCAUUUUGUGCCGAGAAGGGGUGUUGGUUCCUUCCUAACAUGGAGAAAAAGUCUGCGGAGUUUCUCGGAGAGGGGGGAUGGGCCCCAUUCAUGCCGAACAUUACCAUUUUGAUUGCUUUGAUGCUGUUUAUAGAGGAGGGGGAGGGGAGAGAGAAAAGAGAGAGCCCCGAGUCAGCAGCAGCGCAGCCUGGGAUGUUUAAUCACUGUUUAGCGCCGAUUCUCCUUAUUUUAUUAGCGGAAUAUGACCUAUAGUUUACUCUGCUCUAGCGAUGCUUGCUGCUACCAGAGAAAAUCUGCUUUUUACACCGUCAUAGAUGUUGUUGUUGUUGUUGUUGUAGGGCACUGACAUUACAUAUCACCUGAAGAAUAGGCUUUUGUUUACUUUUGUUUAAGUCAAUUUUGAGAUGUUAAAAGAUAGCUUUGUUAGGUCAACAUAUGUGUAAUAAUUUAGCCUAUUCAUUUAGCAUAUGAUUCGCUUUCUUUCUUUCUUUCUUUCUUUCUUUCUUUCUCUUAAAUUAAAAGUGUAUUUUGCUUGAGUGGCUUUUGUUUUAUAAAAAUGACAUAAAAUUAAUACUUAACAUAGUGACUUUAUAGUCAUCCAGACGUUAUAAUGCAUAUGCCAAUGUUCUGACGGUGGCUAGUAAAUACUAGUCCCUCUGUUAAACCAAACUACUCUACAAACACGAGGCAGAAAGUGUACAGUAUGCAUCAUAUAUCUAUGAGGAUGCAGGCCUGUGUAUGUUUCUAUCCUAGGUUUUGUUGAGGGACAGUGUGAAGACAGAGAGGAGCAGGUUGUUGAGGGACGGUGUGAAGACAGAGAGGAGCAGGUUGUUGAGGGACGGUGUGAAGACAGAGAGGAGCAGGUUGUUGAGGGACAGUGUGAAGACAGAGAGGAGCAGGUUGUUGAGGGACGGUGUGAAUACAGAGAGGAGCAGGUUGUUGAGGGACGGUGUGAAUAGAGAGAGGAGCAGGUUGUUGAGGGACGGUGUGAAGACAGAGAGGAGCAGGUUGUUGAGGGACAGUGUGAAUACAGAGAGGAGCAGGUUGUUGAGGGACGGUGUGAAUAGAGAGAGGAGCAGGUUGUUGAGGGACGGUGUGAAUAGAGAGAGGAGCAGGUUGUUGAGGGACAGUGUGAAUACAGAGAGGAGCAGGUUGUUGAGGGACAGUGUGAAUAGAGAGAGGAGCAGGUUGUUGAGGGACGGUGUGAAUAGAGAGAGGAGCAGGUUGUUGAGGGACAGUGUGAAGAGAGAGAGGAGCAGGUUGUUGAGGGACAGUGUGAAUAGAGAGAG